rnacentral:rRNA from 1 species
UACGUAGGUGGCAAGCGUUGUCCGGAUUACUGGGCGUAAAGAGCGCGCAGGCGGUCGGAUAAGUCGAAUGUGAAAGCCCCCCGGCUCAACUGGGGAGGGUCAUUCGAUACUGUUCGACUCGAAGGCAGGAGAGGGAAGUGGAAUUCCCGGUGUAGUGGUGAAAUGCGUAGAUAUCGGGAGGAACACCAGUGGCGAAGGCGACUCCUGGCCUGUUCUUGACGCUGAGGCGCGAAA